GGUCCCAGCCGCGCCUGCUCCAUUACAGCAAGAUCCCUGCCACACAGGCCCGCCACACAGGCCCGCCCCUCCCUCCGACAGCCAAUGGCGGCGCGACCCCGCCCCUCCCGCCGGUUUCCGGGGCGCUAGCGCGCUCCGGGAGGCUGGGGGCGCUGAAUUCUGCAUCUUCCUUUAGACUGCGGCGAGACAACUACCCCGAGCCCCGCGGCCCGGCCUUGGGGCAGCCAUGGACUCGCAGGAAUUGAAGACUUUGAUUAAUUACUAUUGUCAAGAGAGAUAUUUCCAUCAUGUGUUACUGGUUGCCAGUGAAGGAAUUAAGAGGUAUGGAAGUGAUCCAGUCUUCAGGUUUUAUCAUGCCUAUGGUACAUUAAUGGAAGGUAAAACUCAAGAAGCUCUUCGAGAAUUUGAGGCUAUUAAAAAUAAACAAGAUGUAUCACUUUGUUCUCUACUUGCACUGAUAUAUGCCCAUAAAAUGAGUCCUAAUCCAGAUAGAGAAGCUAUUCUGGAAUCAGAUGCCAGAGUGAAGGAACAACGUAAAGGAGCUGGAGAGAAAGCCUUAUACCAUGCAGGCUUAUUUUUAUGGCACAUUGGUCGCCAUGAUAAAGCAAGGGAAUAUAUUGACAGAAUGAUCAAAAUGUCAGAUGGUAGUAAACAGGGACACGUUUUGAAAGCAUGGCUUGAUAUUACAAGAGGAAAAGAGCCUUACACUAAAAAAGCACUGAAGUAUUUUGAAGAGGGACUCCAAGAUGGGAAUGAUACUUUUGCUCUGCUGGGUAAGGCACAAUGCCUUGAGAUGCGCCAGAAUUAUUCAGGUGCCCUGGAGACUGUGAACCAGAUUAUUGUGAAGUUUCCGAGCUUCCUUCCCGCUUUUGUUAAGAAAAUGAAAUUACAACUGGCCUUGCAAGAUUGGGACCAGACAGUUGAGACAGCACAAAGGUUGCUGCUCCAAGAUAGCCAAAAUGUGGAAGCACUGAGAAUGCAGGCACUCUACUAUGUGUGUAGGGAGGGGGAUAUAGAGAAGGCUUCCACCAAGCUGGAAAACUUGGGAAAUGCAUUGGAUGCCAUGGAACCACAGAAUGCUCAACUUUUCUAUAACAUUACACUCGCCUUCAGCAGAACUUGUGGACGUAGUCAACUCCUUCUUCAAAAAAUUCAAACGUUACUUGAGAGAGCUUUUAGUUUAAACCCUCAACAAUCAGAAUUUGCUACAGAACUUGGAUACCAAAUGAUUUUACAAGGAAGAGUUAAAGAGGCACUGAAGUGGUAUAAGACCGCCAUGACACUUGAUGAGACUAGUGUGUCUGCCCUAGUUGGAUUUAUCCAAUGUCAGUUGAUAGAAGGGCAAUUACAGGAUGCAGAUCAGCAGCUAGAAUUUUUAAAUGAAAUCCAGCAGUCCAUUGGAAAAUCUGCGGAAUUGAUCUAUUUACAUGCAGUUCUUGCCAUGAAGAAAAAUAAACGACAAGAAGAAGUUAUUAAUUUGUUAAAUGAUGUCCUGGACACUCACUUUUCACAAUUAGAAGGUUUGCCUCUUGGCAUACAGUAUUUUGAAAAGCUAAAUCCUGAUUUCUUGUUAGAAAUUGUUAUGGAAUAUCUGAGCUUCUGUCCAAUGCAGCCUGCAAGUCCUGGGCAACCUCUUUGUCCACUUCUCAGGCGUUGCGUCUCAGUCCUGGAGACUGUAGUAAGAACUGUUCCAGGUCUUCUGCAAACUAUCUUCCUAAUAGCAAAAGUGAAAUAUUUGUCAGGUGAUAUUGAAGCAGCUUUUAAUAACCUUCAGCAUUGCUUAGAACACAAUCCCUCUUAUGCCGAUGCUCAUCUGCUGCUAGCUCAGGUUUACUUGUCUCAAGAAAAAGUCAAAUUGUGUUCUCAGUCUCUUGAACUUUGUCUGAGCUAUGAUUUUAAGGUGAGAGACUAUCCUUUAUAUCAUUUGAUAAAAGCUCAGUCACAAAAGAAAAUGGGAGAAAUAGCAGACGCAAUUAAAACACUGCAUAUGGCAAUGAGUUUACCAGGAAUGAAAAGAAUUGGAGCUUCCACAAAAUCAAAAGACAGAAAAACUGAAGUUGAUACAAGCCAUCGUUUAUCAAUCUUUCUUGAAUUGAUAGACCUUCACCGCUUAAAUGGAGAGCAGCAUGAGGCAGCCAAAGUUUUACAAGAUGCCAUCCAUGAAUUUUCUGGAACAUCUGAAGAAGUGCGGGUUACCAUUGCUAAUGCAGACCUAGCUCUUGCCCAAGGAGAUAUUGAGCGGGCUUUAAGCAUCCUUCAAAAUGUUACAGCCGAACAGCCUUAUUUUAUAGAGGCCAGAGAAAAAAUGGCAGAUAUUUAUCUGAAGCACAGAAAAGAUAAAAUGUUAUAUAUCACUUGUUUUAGAGAAAUUGCUGAAAGAAUGGCUAACCCUCGGUCUUUUCUUCUCCUUGGUGAUGCAUACAUGAAUAUUCUAGAGCCUGAAGAAGCCAUAGUAGCAUAUGAGCAAGCAUUAAAUCAGAACCCGAAGGAUGGAACAUUGGCAAGCAAAAUGGGCAAAGCACUUAUCAAAACUCAUAACUACUCAAUGGCAAUCACUUACUAUGAAGCUGCUCUGAAAACUGGACAAAAGAAUUAUCUUUACUAUGACCUGGCUGAGCUCUUAUUAAAAUUGAAAUGGUAUGACAAAGCAGAAAAAGUUCUUCAACAUGCUCUGGCUCAUGAACCUGUAAAUGAACUGUCAGCUCUCAUGGAGGAUGGACGUUGUCAAGUUCUUCUAGCAAAAGUUUAUAGUAAAAUGGAAAGACCUGGUGAUGCAAUCACUGCAUUACAACAGGCUCGAGAAUUACAAGCUCGGGUACUAAAACGUGUUCAGAUGGAACAGCCAGAUGCAGUUCCUGCACAGAAACAUUUAGCAGCUGAAAUUUGUGCAGAGAUUGCAAAACACUCUGUUGCUCAGCGAGACUAUGAGAAAGCAAUUAAGUUUUAUAGAGAGGCGCUGGCUCACUGUGAAACAGAUAGUAAGAUUAUGUUGGAACUGGCACGAUUAUACCUGGCACAAGAUGACCCUGAUUCCUGCCUGCGGCAGUGUGCUCUACUGCUUCAGAGUGACCAGGAUAAUGAAGCUGCUACCAUGAUGAUGGCUGAUCUCAUGUUCAGAAAACAAGACUAUGAACAAGCAGUGUUUCAUUUACAGCAGCUUUUAGAACGUAAGCCAGAUAAUUAUAUGACAUUAUCUCGUUUGAUUGAUCUCCUAAGAAGAUGUGGAAAACUCGAGGAUGUCCCAAGAUUUUUCUCAAUGGCUGAGAAACGUAACUCCAGAGCAAAAUUGGAACCAGGAUUUCAGUAUUGUAAAGGACUGUAUCUUUGGUACACUGGAGAACCAAAUGAUGCCCUUCGACAUUUUAAUAAAGCUCGGAAAGAUCGUGACUGGGGCCAAAAUGCCCUUUAUAAUAUGAUAGAAAUCUGUUUGAAUCCAGAUAAUGAAACUAUUGGAGGUGAAGUAUUUGAAAACCUGGAUGGAGACCUGGGUAAUUCAACUGAGAAGCAAGAAUCUGUGCAAUUGGCAGUAAGAACAGCAGAAAAACUUCUUAAGGAACUAAAACCUCAGACUGUUCAGGGUCACGUACAGCUUCGCAUAAUGGAAAACUAUUGCUUAAUGGCUACCAAACAGAAAUCUAAUAUUGAACAAGCAUUAAAUACCUUCACUGAAAUAGCAGCAUCUGAGAAGGAGCAUAUCCCAGCACUCUUGGGAAUGGCAACGGCUUAUAUGAUCUUGAAACAGACUCCACGAGCCAGAAACCAGCUGAAGCGUAUUGCGAAAAUGAAUUGGAAUGCUAUUGAUGCUGAAGAGUUUGAGAGGAGUUGGCUGCUACUUGCUGAUAUUUACAUUCAAUCAGCAAAAUAUGACAUGGCAGAAGAACUGUUAAAACGGUGCCUGCGUCAUAAUAGAUCUUGCUGCAAAGCUUAUGAAUAUAUGGGAUACAUUAUGGAAAAAGAGCAAGCAUAUACAGAUGCUGCCUUGAACUAUGAGAUGGCAUGGAAAUAUAGCAAUCGGACAAAUCCGGCAGUAGUGAUGAGGAAACCUGAAAAUGACAGCUCAAGCCACUUGUGUAAGAUCCCGAAGCUAGUCAGGAAGCCACAAACCAAAACUGAAAUCUUGACCAGUUCCCAUGAUUUGAUUGCCUCAUGUGACAAGCCCAAGAUCUGUGACAGUUGGAGCUCAAACUAGGCAGUCUUGAUUCCACACUGCUCUGAACUAGUAUUUGAAGGAACUAAUGGCCAUGACAUGUUAAAUGAAAGUUUGGGGACUUACACUCAGGAUGGAAGCGGGGGGACACAACAGAAAUGAAAGAAUUUUCUGUAGAUCUGGCAUCUGGACACCUGCCCCCCUCAUGGUAAGGACACAGUUGUAAGUUUAAUGUACUUUUGACCUUAAUUCAGCUAGUAUGGUGAACUGGGUCCCAAGAGGAAAUAGCUUUCUUCCCCAGAAGUCAAGAACCUGGAGCAAAUCUGGAAGGCUUUUAUGCAUGGACAGCUGAGGAAGCAGGUUGAACUUUGCACUAAAGUGGAAGUAGAUAAUGGAAUCACUAUGGAAACCAAAAGACCAAUUAAGAAUCUGACAGGAGCUAUCCUAGUUUGCGACUGGAGAUGACAAGUGAAUAGCUUUAAAAUAGGAUCAUAUAACAGCGUUCAUGCUGACAGAUUUUUUUAGAUGCAAGGUUUGCAAAGGUGCAAGGAAACCACCACAUUCAGACGCUGCUCGUCAAAGUGUAGCACAGCCUUCCUGAAGGGAAUAACUUUAAACAGCAAAAUAAACAGCAAAAAGCAAGUUUGAGAAGACUGUUCUCUAAAAACAGCACAAAAUAAGAGUCUGUCGUUUAACCAAGUGAUCCCACAUAGAGAAAUUUAUCACAGGAAAUAUUGUGAAAUUUUCUCAAAGGUUUCCAAUUUUAAAAAUUGUAACAGUGAAUUUUUUGCUGCUUUUGGUUAUCAAAACAUCCAACAUGAGGUUGUCAAAUAUGUAAGAUUUGACCAAUAAUAUAGUACUAGGUAGUCAUUGAAAACUAUUUCAAGGAUUUAUUUAUGUAUUUAAAUUUUUUGACUCAUGGGAGGCUGAGGCAUGUGGAUUGCCUGAGCUCAGGAGUUCACGACCAGCCUGGGCAACACGGUGAAACCUCGUCUCUACUAAAAUACAAAAAAUUAGCUGGGUGUGGUGGUGUGCGCCUGUAGUGCCAGCUACUCGGGAGGCUGAUGCAGGAGAAUUGCUUGAACCUGGGAGGUGGAGGUUGCAGUGAACCGAGAUCACACCACUGCACUCCAGCCUGGGCAACAGUGAGACUCCAUCUAAAAAAAAAAAUUUUUUUUGAAAGAUUUUAACUGCUAAAAUGCUCACAAAAUAAGUGAAUAAAGAGGAAAAUGUAACUGUUCAAAUAAUAAUAUAUCCAUUUACCAAAAACAUAGAUGCAUAUAAGAAUACACAAAACUAGAUGAAACUAACAUAGUUAUAUCUCAGUGAUGAAAUAUUUAUUUACCAUUGUAAAAGUUAAAUGGAAUUAAUGUAUAUUCUACACUAAAAAAAAAAGAUUUUGUUGUUUUUUAGAGAACAGCCUUCUCAAACUUGCUUUUUGCUGUUUAAAGUUAUUUUUCUGAACACAGAUUAAGAGAAAAAGCUAAACAAAAGCUGACAUUUCAACUCUCAGUACCACACUUUACUAUUAAUUGUUAAUGCAAAAUGCAAUCUAUAUUAGUUCAAUGGCCAGCGAUAGAGAUUCAGGAAGUGGAAGAUAGAAAAAAAAAGCCAGAAAGUAGUACUAGGAGUAGUAGCAGAAGUGGUACUAGAACGUAAGAUUUCCAGAGAGGAUGUGUAAGAGCAUAGUCCUGCAAUUACAUAAAGAAUUGAGAGCAAACCCAGUCCUCUGUAAUUUUAGUCCAUUAUUCCAGCAACAGAGUUUUAAUGAUGAUUCUACCAAAUAUAAUAAAUUAGAAGCCAGUGGAAAUAUCUGAAAUCCUGCAGAGCCUCCACAUGUGAUCCUGCAGUGUGUGCACUGCACAGAGUGACCCAGCCAAGGGCGCAGGAGAUGGAGGCAGAAAUCCUCCAAGUCUUACCACUCUGCAACUGCAUCUCCAUGCAGGAGGACUCCCUUUUCUAAUUUGAAUACAACUUUCUCAUAGGCUAGUGGAGCCCUGCGAAUGGAAGGAGAGGAACUAGAGUCAGUAUAGAAAAGUUUUUAGAAAUAAGGCUAAGGGUGAAGAGUGAUGUGUCUAUAAGGGUGUGAGAAGUCUGUCUUUUAAGAUAAGAGCUACUUGGGCAUCUAUGGAGAAAAAAAAAAAAAAAAAGCCAGUAAAUAUUGAAGGUACAAGAAAGAGAGGAGGGGAAAACCUGAAUAGAAAAAUGAUGGUAUCCAGGGGUUGCACAAUUUUUGCAAGGGGAGUGAAGGAACAAAUGAAGUGCAGAAAGAGUCACUGAUAUAAAGGUGGCUUCAGGAGCUGUUAUGCUAAUUGGCUCCAGUAGUUUUAUAAUCAAUAAAAUAGUCUUUGAGCUAAGGGCAAUACCACUCCUUCAUAUGCACAGGAUCUUGGACCUCUGUUUUCUUUGGACUCUGAGGUAUUUUUCACUUAUUUCCAGGUUCCUGGUUGUGGUUGUUGGAAUUCUGCCUGCCAGAUUAGAGGGGAGUUACUGUAACAUGAUAAAUCCCAGUUAUGAUAAAAUAUGUGCUACCCACCUUCUAAUGCCCCUCUUAAGAACCAGAUGUUUUCUAGAAAAAUGUUUCACUCUGCAAUCUGCCUUACAGUGCACAUCAAUGAAUUUGGCACAAUGCCCAUAAAAGCAAUCUGAUCCCAUAAAUGAGGGAUGCAGAGUAAUGAGCAGGUUCUAAAUGUCUUACUUCCGAGUGGUAUAACAUGAGACUCGAUGGCAAUCCUUAAACCAGGCUGCUUUCAAAUUGUAUGUAUGUUAUAUUUAUCUUCCUUCAAACAAAUUCUUUUGGCAAUGUAAAAGAAAUCCUGGUUUUUUUUGUUUUGUUUUUUUUUAAGGGGGUAUUUUAAGAAGGUAAUUACUAUUUCCAUUUUCACCAAAAGCAGCCUAGUUUUAUUUUUAAUGGGUAAGUGAUGUAAGAACCUUAAAAAACCACUUGAAACACAGGACAGAGCUGCAAAAUGUUCAGUAGUAUCCUCACUUAUUUCGGGUCAGGGCAAUAGGUCCUUUUGCAUAGUUACAGAUUAAACUUUCUUUGAAAAACACACUAAGCUUAAGAACUUUGAGGAAAAAGAAUGCACUAAAACGCUAAGCAGUUACAAAAAUGCUCUUUUCAUACAGUUUAAUAUGUGAAGUUGCUCUAGUAAAUAAAUAAAAACUCCUCCCUUACAUAGUUUCCUGAAGAAUUUUUUGUCCAAUUUUUCACAUUGACUUAAGUUACAAAUUGCAGAAGAUAGAUUGAGGGGGACUCUGGGUGGGCGCAAGCGCAGGAUAUUGAGAAAUCGCAAGGGCAAAGUUAAAAUGAUUGAAUACAUACCAUGUGAAGAGUCAGGGUGAGGCAACGGACAAAUGACGUGUCUAGAUUCUGAUGUCACUUACUUGUGUUAAACACAGACAUCUACUGCCUUUUAUAAAAUGUAUGUGCUGGGUGGUUGUUUUUGUAGAUCUUUUUAAAUGCCCAAUAUUCAUUAUUCAAGUUUCAAUAAAAAUGAUUUUGUUUCUACAAAAAGGAAACAAUUUUAAUUUUUUAUUUGGAAAAAAAAUUAAACGUACAGAAAAUUGCAUGAGUAAGAUUGCAAAGACCGUAUAUAUUAAGGUAAACAUUAAAAUAUUGCUAAUAUUUUAAACCAUUUGCUUUAUCAUUUGUGCUUUCUGUGUGAGUAUAAGAAUUUUAUAUAUACAUUUACACUCACACAUAUGUAUACACACAUAUAUAAAUAUGAUGUUUUUUUCUGAAGAUUCUGAAAGUAAGUCACAAGCAUCGUACACAUCCUUGUACCCCUAAGUACUUCAGUGGUCUGUAUUUCCUAAGAAUAUGGAUACACUCCUAUAUAAUCAAACUGUAGUUAUCAACUUCAGUAAAUUUAACAUGGAUACCAUACUUUAAUCCACAUCAUUUACCACCAGUUGAUCCAAUAAAGUCCUUUUUUUCCUCCAGUCAAGAUCCACUCUGGAAUCAGACAUUGCAUUUACUUGUCAUGUCUCUUUAUUGUUGCUUAAUCUGGAGCAUAUCCACAGCCUUUCUCUCUUUUACAAUAUAGACAUUUUUUAAAGAAAAUGUCCCUCACCCUCACUUCUUUUGUAGUAGAAUGUUCUUCAUUCAGGGUUCGUCUGAUAUUUCAUCAUGAUUCAAUUUGAGCUAAACAUCCCUGGCCAUAAUGCUAUAUAAGUAGUAUGUCCUCAGGGUAUCAAAUAUGGCAGCACAUAUUUAUCUGCCCUCACUUGUGAAUUAAUUUUGAUUACUCCUUCAAAUUUCUCCACUACAUAGUUAUAUUUUUUUCUUGCAACUAAUAAGCAAUCUGUGAGGAGACACUUGUAGAUCAAAUAUCCUGCUCCUCUUCAAAACUUUCCACUAGAUUGAUCAUGAUUCUUGCCUAGUCCCAUCUUUACUGUGAUGGUAAUAAAGGCUCCACAUGUACCCAGAAGUUAGUACUCAGCGUUUUACCAUAAGCAAGAGCCCUGCCUUUGCUUAUUUAUUGUUGUUUUUGCUUUUCAUUUUUAUCCAUUAUUUAAUAUAGGACAGUAGGGGACUCUGGAGCUUAAACAAACUAUCACAUAGUGAGGACUGAGAGUUGAGCUUAUUUUUUUUCCUCCUGGAUAAAAUAAUUUUAUCCAUUGUUUAAUAUAGAAGGAGAGUAGGGGAUUCUGGAGCUUAAACAAACUAGCACAUGGCAGGAUUCAGAUUUGAGCUUUUUGUUGUUAAAAAUAUUUAACAUCAUACAGUCUUAUGAAAUUCUAUUUUUUCAAUAUUUCAUCAUUCAUUAAUGUCAUUAAUUAUUUUGGUGCUCAAAUUAUUUCAGAUUUGUCCAGCAGGAGCCUCUUCAGGCUGGUUCCUGUGUCCUUGUGACAUGCUCUCAUUGUUUUUUUUGAUCACUUUCUUACUUUCUAUCAUAACAAGGUGUCUCAGGCUCAACUUCUGAUUUCCCUACCUCAACCUUGGAAUCAGCCAUUUCUCUGAGGAGCCCUGGUUCCUUUUAUUGGGAAUGGUGUUAGAGAUAAAGAUCCAAGUGCUAAGUCUGCUCAUUGCUACUAGGGUGUAAUUGCUUCUAGAUCCUUUCAGAAGAUGGAAAACAUACGCAUGCAUACAUACAUAUGCAUAUACAGACAUAUACUCAUAGACACACAUAUAGACACACAGAUGUUUGCAUGAAUACUGUGCAUACACACAGUCUCACAUACACUGACAUCUAGUUCUUAUUUGUAUGACCCUUUUCCAGAGUAUGAUGCUGGAUCCUAACAAUCUCAACCUAUUUGUCCAUUUCUUCAACCUUAUAAUCUACCUAAAAUGGUUUCAGACUUGCUUCACCCAAAAACAAGUCUACAAAAUCUACAAAAAGAGUUCAGAAUUUGUUUUCAGUCUCCCACCUCCCACAAUGCCACCAACUUUGGUCGAUUUUUAAUUUAUUGUUGAUAAAUUUAACAACUUAUCCUAAAAUGUUACCAGAACCAUUUCCCAGUAGUGUGACAUAUUUUAAAAAUCAAAUUAGGCCAGGCACAAUGGUUCACAUCCCACGACUUUGGGAGGCCGAGGCAGGUGGAUCAUCUGAGGUCAGGAGUUUGAGACCAGACUGGCCAACAUAGCAAAACCCCAUCUCUACUAAAAAUACAAAAAUUAGCUUGGCGUGGUGGUGGGCGCCUGUAAUCCCAGCUACUCAGGAGGCUGAGGCAGGAGAAUCAUUGCUUGAAUCCGGGAGGUGGAGGUUGCAGUGAGCUGAGAUCGCACCAUUGCUCUCCAGCCUGGGCAACAAGAGCAAAACUUGUCUUAAAAAAAAAAAAAAAAAAAAGCCUAAAUUAUUUAUUGCUGAUAAGAGUGUGUGCUCUGUUUCAUGGACCAGCUUUGCAAUUUCCUUCCAAAUAUUCAUCUACUUGCAAAAUAAAUGCCAUCCCUUCCCACGCCAACCAUAUUGAUGAUGUAGUGGCAGGAAGGAGAGUAGGGGACUCUGGAGCUUAAACAAACCAUCACAUGGUAAGGAUUGAGAGUUGAGCUUUUUGUUAAAAAUAUGUUGUAGAUCUACAUUAUUAUAAACUGAUUUUUCUGUUUGACCUUAAGUAUUUUCAGCACUUUUACUGUGAUAGGUUAACUGUCAGCCAUAAACAUUUCUAAAGAAAUAGGAAAAUAUUCUUCCUAUAUUAUUCAAAAUACAAGUUUCUGGUUUAUAGCAACUAAUACUGUUUUUCCUCUCAACCUGCCGUUUCCAACUGCUACCUUUUCUCAUUGAGUGAAUCCUGGUCUUCACUUGAAAAAGUUAGAUUUAUAUCCUCUAUUCUUUAUUUUUGUAUUUAUAUUUUAUUUCUAUUUUCUUGAGUCCUACAGUCUCAUAAAAUCGUUUUGAAUAGCAGAGCUGCAGAGCUGAUGGGGAGGUCAGCUAUGUUAAUUCCACAGCGCCCCAGUCUUCGGUGUGAGGUUGCCUAGCAACCCAUCUCUCAGGCCUCCUUUGUGGGUGAGAGAAGAGAAAGCAAUUCUUCUAUACACUCUCAAGCCGAGAUGAUUUUUAUAAAGUGAAAAACCUUUCGUAAAGGGUCUAACACAACCCCUGCUUCUCCUCCUCUGCCCACUGUACACUUCACAUAUGAUGAGAGAAAUAUUCCAUCCUUUUGAGCUUUAGAUCUGAUACAGAUACAAAGCAGAGCUAGACACUGUAUGGUCAAACAGUGGAAGUGACCUGUAUCUUCAUGUUAAAUUGAGACACAUUAAUUAAACCACUCAUCUUCCCUUUUCUCUUCUAUGAAAGCAUAGUUUCCCCUCAAGUUCUAAAAGCCAGUUAUGUUAAAUGAAACUGCAACUGCCUGCUGAGCAUCAGUUACCAUAGCGAUGAGAGCCAGGAGUGAUGUUUUUCUCCUUAGGCACAGGAUGACUGAAAUGUGUUCAACCAGGGGAUUCAAGCAGCCUGCUGACUAGAAACAGGCAUCUGGGAAGAGCCUGCUCGGUUGCUUUUUCUCCACACUUAUUUGAAAAAAUAACCCCUCUGCUAUUCCCUUAAAGCUGUUGCCUUUUUAGAACCAAACUUCAGUGGGUGGCAGAAGUGCCCUACCUUAGGCAUACAGGAGAAGGCGGAGCAAUGAUGCAUGCUAGUGAAAACCACACGAACAGCUGAGAGUGCACGCGAACAAUGCAGAGAAGAUGCAUUGCCCUUUCAGAUGUCUCUGAAAAUACAGAGUACCACAUGGAUUUUCCACAUUGUGAAAAUACUUAGGUACAUUUUUUUGAAACAUUUAUAAUCCUAUUACCUUAUUUUCCAGGCAGAUGAUGUUAUUCACAAGAAUAUUGUGGUUCCAGUGGAUAAUAGUUUAUGGAGGGUUGUUGUAAGUUAAAAUAAGUAUAAGGAAAAAUGCUUUGUGGUAUUCUCAUUUGCCUCUAAUUAUGGCUGAGAAGAGAGAGGCAGGGUAGCACAAUGGGCUUUGGAGUCAAACAACCUGGGUUGACCUCCUCUGCCAUUUAACAGUGUGAUUUGGGGCAAGUUCCAUAAGCUGUCUAGGUCUCACUUUCCUAAUUUUUACAAAGAAACUAAAGAGAGUAUUGUUAACAGUGUGAAGUACGAAAAUAUACAUAAAACACCUGAUUGAAACACUGAUGACUGUUACAAUCAAUUUGGCUUAAUUGACCACUCAGUACUAAUUGAACACCUGGUACAUGCCCAUGCUUGAUGUGAGAAGAGUACUGAGGUCCCAGCCAAAAAGAGGGCAGCUAAGUUUGGGGACUGCAACUGCAGGUUAUCUACCUUUCUGAUGCUUCAGAAAGGUUUGGUAUGUCAUCCUCACCAAUGUUCUAUCCAUAGUGGCAGUGACAUGAUACUCCUUGUGCGUCUACCUCCAUGACCAGUUCACAGGGAAACUCUUACUGCUGUUUCUUAACUAAAUUUUGCUUUUCUACCAUAACUGUCAUUACCAGCACCCUCAGUCAUCACAAUCAUUAGACUAGACAUCUGCCUCCAUGGAGAAUAUGUGAAUACCUCUGAAUGUACUUCCUGGAGGAGCUGCCAAACUAUUUCCAGCAAUGGCAAAUCAGAAUGUAUGUGAAUUCCCAAAGUGCCUUCCCUGGACAUUCUUUUCUAGCAACAGUAUACCUUCUGGUGACUUUCUAACAAAGCAAUUACAUAAUUCCUGGAAAGCAUAUACUUUUAAAAUUUUAGAUCAUUGAAUCUAACCCUUUCAUUUUAGAGAUAAAAGGGAGCUCAGGAACAUUGAUUAAAUUACCCAAUUCAUUUUUAUGUAUGCAUUUAUUUAUAUCUAUGUAUACAGCCAAAAAUAAUAUCAUAUAAAUAUAUACAUGUACCUACACACACGUGUAUUCAUAUAUAAAUACACACAUGUAAAGAGAAGGAAUCAGUUACACAAAUACAUAAUUUUUUUUCAGGUUGUCUGAAAGUAUACUCCAAGUUUCCCCAAGCUAGAGACCAUUAUUAUCAGUGAUUGCUCUAUAAUUUGCAAGUAGCAGAAACCAACUUAGGAUGGCCUGAGUUAUAUGUAAGUCUUCAAGUUGGCACUGGAGCUGAAAGGUGGGAAGGAUUGGAACCAGGGACUGGAAUAUGGGCAAGACUCUAUGCCUUUCCUCUGAUACUUUCUGCAUGUUGGUGUUCACUCAACUAUCCAUCCAUUUAGGAAUCCCAGCCAUUUGACACAUAUUCACUGAAGACCUAUUCUAUGCCAGGCACUGUGCCAGGCAGAGGGAAAGCCCUCAUAUAGGGCAGACCUGGUCUUCUCCAUUAGAUCCUGUGAAACUUAUUGGCUUUCAUUCUCUCUUGCCACUGCCAUGUAAGUAGUAGCUUUUGCCUUCCACCAUGAUUAUGAGGCCUCCCCAGCCAUGUGGAACUAUGAGUUUGUUAAACCUCUUGUAUUAGUCUAUUUUCAUGCUGAUGAUAAAAGACAUAAACCUGAGACUGGACCAUUUACAGAAAAAAAGAGUUUAGUGGGACUUACAGUUCCAUGUGCCUGGGGAGGCCUCACAAUCAUGGUGGAAGCCAAGGAGCAGCAAGUCAAAUCCUACAUGGAUGGCAGCAGACAAAAAGAGAGAGCUUGUGCAGGAAAUUCCUCCUUAUAAUACCAUCAGAUAUUAUGAGACUUAUUUGCUAUCACAAGAACAGCACUCAGAUAUUAUGAGACUUAUUCACUAUCACAAGAAUAGCACCUGCCCCCAUGAUUCAAUUACCUCCCACUGAGUUCCUCCUACAACACGUGGGAAUUCAAGAUGAGAUUUGGGUGGGGACAUAGCCAAACCAUAUCACCUCUUUUUCUUCCCAGUCUCAGGUAUGUCUUUAACAGCAGCAGGAAUACAGACUAAUACAGUAAAUUGGAACCAAUAUAGUGGGGCACUGCUGAAAAGAUACCCAAAAACAUGGAAGCAACUUUGGAACUGGGUAACAGGCAGAGGCUGGAGCAGUUUGGAGGGCUCAAAAGAAGCCAGAACAAUGUGGGAAAGUUUGGAACUCCCUAGAGACUUGUUGAAUGGCUUUGCCCAAAAUGCUGAUAGCAAUAUGGACAAUAAAGUCUAGGCUAAGGUGGUCUCAAAUGGAGAUGAGGAACUUGUUGGGAACUGGAGCAAAGGUGACUCUUGUUAUGUUUUAGCAAAGUGGCUGGCAGCAUUUUGCCUCUGCCCUAGAGAUUUGUGGAACUUUAAACUUGAGAGAGAUGAUUUAGGGAAUCUGGUGGAAGAAAUUUCUAAGCAACAAAGCACUCAAGAGGUGUUUUGGGUGCUGUUAAAGGCAUUCAGUUUUAUAAAGAAAACAGAACAUAAAAUUAAGAAAUUUGCAGCCUGACAAGGUGAUAGAAAAGAAAAUCCCAUUUUCUGAGGAGAAAUUUAAGCUGGCUGAGGAAGUUUGCAUAAGUAAUGAGGAGCUGAAUGUGAAUCAUUGCCAAGACAAUGGGGAAAAUGUCUCCAGUGCAUGUCAGAAGUCUUCAAGGUAGCCCCUCCCAUCACAGACCUGGAGGCCUAGGAGGGAAAAAUGGUUUCAUUGGCUGGGCCCAGUGUCCCUCUGCUGUGUGUAGUCUAAGGACUUUAGCGCCCUGUGUCCCAGCCACUCCAGCCGUGACUAAAAGGGACCAAGGUAGAGCUCAGGCUGUGGCUUCAGAGGGUGCAAGCCCCAAGCCUUGGCAGCUUUCACGUGGAGUUGAGCCUGUGAGUGCACAGAAGUCAAGAAUUGGAAUUUGGGAACCUCCACCUAGAUUUUAGAGGAAGUAUGGAAAUGCCUGGAUGUCCAGGAAGAAGUUUUGCUUCAAGGACAAACCUCAGAGAGAACCUCUGGUAGGGUAGUGUGGAAGGCACAUGUGAGGUGGAAGCCCCCACACGGAGUCCCCACUAAGGUGCUGCCUAGUGGAAUUGUGAGAAAAGAGUCUCCAUCCUCCAGACCCCAGAAUGGAAGAUCCACUGACAGCUUGCACUGUGCACCUGGAACAGUCACAAGACACUCAUCACCAGCCCAUGAAAGCAGCCAGAAAGGAGGCUGUACCCUGCAAAGCCACACUGGUAGAGCUGCCCAAGACCAUGGGAACCCACUUCUUGCAUCAGCAUAACCUGGAUGUGAGAUAAGGAGUCAGAGCAGGUUAUUUUGGAGCUUUAAGAUUUAACUGCCCUGCUGGAUUUUGGACUUGCAUGGGGCCUGUAGCCCCUUCAUUUUGCCCAAUUUCUCCCAUUUGGAAUGGCUGUAUUUACCCAAUGCCUGUACCUCCAUUUUAUCUAGCAAGUAACUAACUUGCUCUUGAUUUUACAGGCUUAUAGGCAGAAGGGACUUGCCUUGUCUCAGGUGAGACUUUGGACUGUAGACUUUUAAAAGAGUUAGUGCUGAAAUGAGUUAAGACUGUGAGAGACUGUUGGGAAGGCAUGAUUGUUUUUGACAUGUAAGGACAUGAGAUUUGGGAGGGGCAAGGGGCAGAGUGAUAUGGUUUGGCUGUGUCCCCACCCAAAUAUCAUAUUGAAUUCCCACAUGUUGUGGGAGGGACCCUGUGGGAGGUACUUGAAUCAUGGGGGCAGGUGUUUCUCCUGCUGUUCUCAUGACAGUGAAUACAUCUCACAGGAUCUGAUGAUUUUAUAAGGGGAGUUUCCUUGUGCAAGCUCUGUUUGCCUGCUGCCAUCCAUGUAAGAUGUGACUUGCUCCUCCUUGGCUUCCACCAUGAUUGUGAUGCCUUCCCAGCCAUGUGGAACUGGAAGUCAGCAAACAAGAUGCUAACUGAUGGAGUGAAAUCCCCAGGAGAUGCAGAAGGCAAGUGCAGCCAACUGAGGCCUCAGGGGCAGGAGAUGCCCAUCGUGAUGAGAGCUAUGGCUUUCUCCAGUGAUGAUUCUGCUUCUAUGAGGUCACAAGCAGUAGAACCAUAUCUUGCUGGCAUACACUUGGGAUGGCCCCGCCUCUCCUGGACUUCCAUCUGUCAUCAGGAGAACAUGACCAUCUGGAGUCAGUACAGAUCAUCAAUCCUUCCACAUAUACAAGUUCAUUUUAAAUUUUUAAAAAUAUAAUACAACUGAGAAGUCUUCAUUAAA